rnacentral:rRNA from 1 species
GACGAACGCUGGCGGCGUGCCUAACACAUGCAAGUCGAACGGGCAGGCCCUGCUUUUGGGGGGUGCUCGAGUGGCGAACGGGUGAGUAACACGUGAGUAACCCGCACUUGACUGUGGGAUAACUUCAGGAAACACGGGCUAAUAACGCAUAUGAGCUCUUGCUCCACGGUGGGGGUUGGUAAGAUUCGGCCGUUGGGGAUGGUCUCGCGGCAUAACGGCUUGUUGGUGGGGUAGUGGCAGACCAAGGUUUUGAGGGGUAGCCGGCCUGGGAGGGGGACCGGACCCAUGGGGCCUGAGGUACGGCACAGACGGCAACGGGACGCAGGGGUGGGGAGUAUUGCACAAUGGGGGGGAGCCUGACACGACGACGCCGCGUGCGGGAAGACGGCUUUCGGGUUGUGAACCAACUUCGCCUGACACGAAGCGUGAGUGACGGUACUGGGUAAAGAAGCACCGGCUAACUACGUG